AGAAUAGCUAGCUCCUGCAGUGCCUGAUUAACCAACCUUGCAACAUUCUGUCUUUGUUCCUGCCUCAACUGAUAAGCCAAUCUUGUGACACCGGACCUUGGAUCUUGCAACAGCCCCCCCGCCUUCCCACGACACCCCUCUGGCUUGCAAAAACCUCCCUGAACUAUAACUUCUGUAACUUUCCACUGCCUACCUCAAAUCUAUAAAAUGAACUCCUAUCCCACCACCCUCUGCUGACUCCUUUUUUGGACUCAGCUUACUCGCACCCGAGUGAAGAAACAGCAUUGUUGCUCACACAAAGCCUGUUUAGCCUCUUGAUUUCCAGCAACAUACUACAGAACACACCUGCUAUUAAAAACACUUCACAACUUCUACUCAGUGUCAUCCAUUGCUGUUGUGAAAGACCACACAGCAAUAUCUGAUAUGUUGCAAGCUUUCCAGGUAGGCUGAACUUAAAAAGUUGGUCCAUUAGUUGUAUCUGAUGGAUAUAAAUUUGCCUCCUAGUUUACUUUGUGUCAAGAGCUAGCACUGUGAACCUAACUUUCUUUUACUGGUGGGUAAUAACUGAAAAUAAAGAUUUAUUUUCAUGCUCAAA